UACUAAGCAAGAGAUUUAGACCGAGCUGGAUGAGCGACCGACUCAAAGGGGCAAUUAGGAAAAAACAGAAAGCGUACAAAGAGUGGAAGAGGGGAGGGAUCAGUAAGGAAACUUAUCUUAGUGAAGUCAGAGCAUGUAGAGAUAGAGUGAGAAAGGCCAAAAGCCGUGUAGAGUUGGACCUAGCGAGGGGAAUUAAAAGCAAUAGUAAGAGGUUUUACAGCCAUAUAAAUAGGAAGAAAGCAAAGAAGAAGAUUUAGGACCGCUGAAGACUAUAGCCGGAGAGGAGAUUAAAGAUAAUCUAGGCAUGGCGCAAUAUCUCAACGAAUAUUUUGCAUCGGUGUUUAAUGAGGCCAAUGAAGGUAUUAGGGAGGACCGGACGAUCUUCAUCCGAGAAUAUUGAAGGAAUUGACGCAGGAAAUAGCAGGCCCAUUAAGGAUAAUAUUUAAUGAAUCUGUAAACUCGGGGGUGGUUCCGUUAGACUGGAGAAUAGCUAAUGUGGUUCCUAUUUUCAAGAAAGGGAAAAAAAGUGAUCCGGGUAACUACAGGCCUGUUAGUUUAACAUCUGUAGUGUGCAAGGUGCUGGAGAAAAUUCUGAAAGAGAAACUAGUUGAGCACCUGGAGGUUAAUGGCAAGUGCGAUAAAUUACAACAUGGUUUUACGAAGGACAGAUCAUGCCAAACGAAUCUGAUCUCCUUCUUCGAGAAAGUAACGGACUUAUUAGAUAAGGGAAAUGCGGUGGAUUUCAGUAAAGCGUUUGAUACUGUACCCCAUGAGGAAUUAUUGGUUACGCUGGAAAAGAUGGGGAUCGAUAUGAAAAUCCACAGGUGGAUAAGGAAUUGGUUAAUGGGGAGAAUGCAGCGGGUCGUAUUGAAGGGUGAACUGUCAGGUUGGAGGGAGGUUACCAGUGGAGUUCCUCAGGGUUCGGUUUUAGGACCCAUUUUAUUUAAUCUAUUUAUUACUGACCUCGGAACCGAUUGCAGGAGUGGACUGAUAAAGUUUGCGGAUGAUACGAAGGUGGGAGGCGUUGCCAAUUCGGAGGAGGAUAGGGAUAUUCUGCAGGGAGACUUGAAUGAGCUUGUGAAUUGGAGUAUCAGAAAUAGGAUGAAAUUUAAUAGUGAAAAGUGUAAGGUGAUGCAUUUAGGGAUGACUAACAACAAU
rnacentral:lncRNA from 1 species